GCCAUUCUUGUUGUUCUUGUUAAAUUGUGUAUGUGGGCUAUAUAUAGACAGGAGUUCACCUAACCCUAUGAUCCUCAAAGUGUGCGGCGCGCCCCCCCCCAUGGGGCGUGCAGUGGCACUGCAGGGGGGCACGAAACACAAAUCUCAAGUUGAGGGUGUGCUAACAUGUGUAGCGGACCUAGAGUACGUGAGCAGAGUAGAAAACAAUUUAAGCUAAAAUUAAAGCUUAAUGCAAAUUGUUUUCUUUUUUUGGAACGAGCGGUGAGCGAUUUCAUUGGAAUGUGGUGAAAACGGACUGAAGCGGGGAGCGAUAAUGAGCGAAGCGGUUUGCAACGGCUGUGAACGGGGAAGCGGGGGAGCGUACCGCUCAGUCUGCACAUACAUGUACAUACAGCGAAACCAACAUGAAGCAAAACAUGGACCAGAACUGAGCCCACAGUGAUACCCUCUGAAUCACCAUCCCACCUGUAAUACAUCCCAGUCAGUGGCCGACUGGUAGGUGGGACAACAGGGGCAAAAAUCCUGUUUUGGAGCUCUACUGUGGACCUUCAGCUACUUGCAUAACCAGGACUCUCAAGUUUCAUUAAAAGUUUGGAGUGAGAUUACAUCUGUUGGGGGCGCAGUGCGUGUCUCACGGUCAGUGUGUGGGACUUGAGAGCCCUGCCUACUGCAUUCAUGGGAUCUCGCUCCACUCACACCUUGUCUGAUCUGAUCAUCCAUGUAAUGAUGUGUUUGCAGUGGGAUCACAUGUAACUUAUUUUGGAAUUAACCCGGAAACAACAAAUGCUAUUUUCUGAUUGGCUGACAGGUGGCUAUUAACUCUGUAUAAUUCGGGACAGCUAUGAACUCGGUGUAAAAUUCCGCUCUGUAAUCUUGCUCCUCGUCCAUUAAUCCUAUAUAACAAGA